rnacentral:lncRNA from 10 species
GUCCAGCUGCUGAGCUCAGCCCGCUGCCUCUCAUCUCUUCCCAUGGGUUUGUCUUCAUUCACCCACUGCCCCUAGAGCAGCCCAGGCCCCGCCCUCAGCCUGAGGACCCUGUGCAGAGCUCAGCCAGUUCCAGGAGGGGAGGGCCUCUUGAAGGCAGUCGGGGGCCAGGGGAGCUGGUGCUCACAUUGAGGAGCUGUGGAAGGCAGGCCUAGGCCCACACAUCCUGUGCUAAGAAGAGAGGACAGGGUGUGGAAGGAGGGGUUGGAGUGGGAGACCCAUAGCCUGAUUCAGCCCCGAAUGGAAAAGUGAAGUUAUGGGGGGACUGAAAGGUUUGGUGACAGAUACUGGGAUGUGAGUCUGGAAAGCGGCUUUGAGUCAUGGCUUGGCAUCUACCCUCCCUUUGUGACCUUGGCCAUGUCCAUUGCCCUCUUAUCCCCAUCU